GAUGAACGCUGGCGGCGUGCCUAAUACAUGCAAGUCGAGCGAACAGACGAGGAGCUUGCUCCUCUGACGUUAGCGGCGGACGGGUGAGUAACACGUGGAUAACCUAUCUAUAAGACUGGGAUAACUUCGGGAAACCGGAGCUAAUACCGGAUAAUAUAUUGAACCGCAUGGUUCAAUAGUGAAAGACGGUUUUGCUGUUACUUAUAGAUGGAUCCGCGCCGCAUUAGCUAGUUGGUAAGGUAACGGCUUACCAAGGCAACGAUGCGUAGCCGACCUGAGAGGGUGAUCGGCCACACUGGAACUGAGACACGGUCCAGACUCCUACGGGAGGCAGCAGUAGGGAAUCUUCCGCAAUGGGCGAAAGCUUGACGGAGCAACGCCGCGGGAGUGAUGAAGGUCUUCGGAUCGUAAAACUCUGUUAUUAGGGAAGAACAAAUGUGUAAGUAACUAUGCACGUCUUGACGGUACCUAAUCAGAAAGCCACGGCUAACUACGUG
rnacentral:rRNA from 1 species